UACGAAGGGGGCUAGCGUUGUUCGGAUUUACUGGGCGUAAAGCGCACGUAGGCGGAUUGGUCAGUUAGGGGUGAAAUCCUGGAGCUCAACUCCAGAACUGCCUUUAAUACUGCCAGUCUCGAGUCCGGAAGAGGUAAGUGGAACUCCUAGUGUAGAGGUGGAAUUCGUAGAUAUUAGGAAGAACACCAGUGGCGAAGGCGGCUUACUGG
rnacentral:rRNA from 1 species